AACGAACGCUGGCGGCGUGUUUAAGACAUGCAAGUCGCACGGAGAAUCUUUGAAGCUUGCUUUUAAGAUUCUUAGUGGCGCACGGGUGAGUAACACGUGAGUUACAUGCCCUGCAGAGGGGAAUAGCCCGCCGAAAGGCGGAUUAAUACCCCAUGGUCCCGCAAGGGUAAAGGUGGCUUCGGCUGCCGCUGCAGGAUUGGCUCGCGUCCUAUCAGCUUGUUGGUAAGGUAACGGCUUACCAAGGCAACGACGGGUAGCUGGUCUGAGAGGACGAUCAGUCACACUGGAACUGAGACACGGUCCAGACACCUACGGGUGGCAGCAGUCGAGAAUAAUUCACAAUGGACGAAAGUCUGAUGGUGCAACGCCGCGUGGAGGAUGACGGUCUUCGGAUUGUAAACUCCUGUCAUUUGAGAGUAAGACCUGGCGGUCAAUAGCCGACAGGGUUGAUAGUAUCAAAAGAGGAAGGGACGGCUAACUUCG
rnacentral:rRNA from 1 species